rnacentral:sRNA from 1 species
GAAAUUAGUUGGCAUAUGCUUACUGUGACAUUUGUCUUCUCUGUGGCAAUUAAAACUUCAAAACAUUCUUACAGGUCAGUUGUUCCUUGAUUCUUUGGGUAACAUGGCUAGUGUGGCAAACAUGGUUUCAUCAUGCCUGCAAAUUUUGAUUAUAUUUCCUCCUCCUUUCAUCAAACCCUGCUCUCAACAUUACCUAGUUUGUAAUUAAAAUAGGCUUGUGCUGGGGUGAUCUACACUAAUCAUUUGACAUAGUUAACCUGCGCCACUUUGAUAAGCCAUAGCACUGACCUUGCCUUAACCAAAUGAACUUGACAUCUUGUAGCUUUAGGCCUUCUAAGUGUUAGUUUCUCUUCACAGUCAGUCUAGCGGUGGAGCUUUCAUUGACAUUCUUCAUUCAUUCUUUAUUGUAUCUGCAUAUGAGGAAGCCACAAAGUUAAUAUUUUUUAAAAAGGUAUAGACUCUGUUUUCAGACUUACUACCUACUUAGGGGUUAAAGUCAGUAAUAAGUCCUUGAGUAAUAAAAACGUUGUGAUAUAGACUGGAUGAGGCAAGAACAUACAGGUAGCAUGGCACAGUGGGUAGCCUCUGGAGCCAUUAAGAUUGGAAUUUAGAUCUUGGUCCCUCAACUCAGUGGCCCUGUAUCUUACCCAUCCUGAAGCCUCCAGUUUUCCUUCUGGGAAUUGAACAGGAGAGGUUAUGGGGAGGACUUUCCCCAUUUUGAGUUUCCUUUCCACUUCUUGGCAGCAUUAUAGUAAAGGACCGUGAAGACUAGGAAAGUCAGCCCAGAACUUCCCGAAGGAAUGAAGACUGGAGCUAGACCUUGAUAGUGGGCUAGGUCACAUGGAGAAGGGAAAAAGGCAUGGAAACAAGUCUGUAGAAAGAGCAUUGAGAACAUAUGCAGGGAAGAGACUCCAUGAAAGCAGUGCAUUAAAAAAUGUGUGUUUGAAGGGGUAGAGUCUGGAAUCUGAAAGAUGGGAAAGAAGAUUCUUAAAAUCGAGGCAUGAGAUGAGAAUAUGAGUGAACAUAGGAGCUCAGGCAAUGGCAGAGAAAGGGCAGAUACAAGGAGCAUCUCCAAGGAAAAAUCAUCAGGAUUUGAUGGGUGAGACCGUAGAAUGAAAGAAAUUUUCAAGGUUUAAGCUGGAUGAUUACUGUGUCUAUCAUGUAUUCAUUCAUUCUUAGAACACUUAAAUGGAAAACCUGCUGUUGCGGUGUUCUGUUCUAGGUAUUGGGGAUUAACCACUAAAUAAAACAGAAGCCCCUGCUCUUUUGAAACUUACUUUCUAGUGUUAAUUAUGUUAAAAAAUUUAGUGUCAGCAAUUUUAGGAUCUUGAGAUGUCAUCAUCUAGCUCAUGAUUCUUUUAUGAUCUAAAAGUUAAAUGGGAAAUGUCGAUGAAAGUGCAUCCAGUAUCUUCAUGAACUCAGUAUACAGUAUUUCCGCGUUUCAGAACUGUAAAGAUAAGAAUGAAACUGUUAAACUGAAAAUACUGAAUUUCACAGAUCAAAGAAAAUGGUACUACUCUAGAUGUAGAAUUAAUAGUUCACCUUAUAAUUAAUAAAUUUCAGGAAAUAUCAUGAAGUUUGGAACACCUAGGGAAUUGCUGAGUUGUAAAAGGCUCCUUUUGUAGACUUUGGUUGGGUUAAAACUAGGUUCAUUUAAAAACCAGGAGGAAGUAGGUUGAACAAGGCUUUAAUACUUGAUGGCUUUUGUUCAUGUGAGUUUUGUCAGCUUAUUUCUGAAGUAGUGCUAUGAUGUUUUAGUGUUCAGUUUUCUUCAAUUCUUUAAGGUAAAAUAAUUUGUUAUUAGUAGAUAACUCCUUGACAGAAAAUGUUGACAUAAGAAAUAAAGAAGUUUGAAAUUUAGAAUACAGUUUUCCAUGUUAUGUUGAAAGCUUGAAUUGGAAGAACAUUAUCUAAUACAAAUUAUGAUGCAUUUAGAUAUUCAUUUGGUUUAGAAAACUUUCCUGCCUUUCAUUUAAUUGACCUAGUUGUAUUUCAUAGCAUUUUAAUGAUAACCACAACUAGUCAGCUGUAACAACAGAAUAUAAAGAUUAUAUGUAAUUCUUUUUUUUUUUUUUCGAGAUGGAGUCUUUCUCUGUCGCCCAGGCUGGAGUGCAGUGGCGCGAUCUUGGCUCACGGCAAGCUCCGCCUCCCCAGUUCACGCCGUUCUCCUGCCUCAGCCUCCCGAGUAGCUGGGACUAUAGGUGCCUGUCACCAUGCCUGGCUAAUUUUUUGUAUUUUUAGUAGAGACAGGGUUUCACCGUGUUAGCCAGGAUGGUCUCGAUCUCCUGACCUCGUGAUCUGCCCGCCUCGGCCUCCCAAAGUGCUGGAAUUACAGGUAAAAGUGCAGUUUUAAAGUGUCUCCUGGAUAUUCACAAAAUUUUUCAGGAAAAUGACCCAGCGUACAUACUGAAUGAUCUCUACAUCUCAGACUACUGUGUGUGGAUUCAGAAAGUCAAAUCCAAAAAGUUGGCAGCUCUUGCAGAAGCCUUAAAGGAAGUCUCCCUUACAAAGGCCCAGCUGGGGUUAGAACUGGAAGAACUAGAAGCAGCAGCACUGCUUGUCCAGGAGGAAGAAACUGCAUUAAAAGCAGCCCAUUCAGUUUCUGGGCAGCAGACACUUUGCUCCAGCUCUGAGGCAAGUGAUUCGGAGGACUCAGACAGCAGCGUGUCAUCUGGAAACGAAGACUCAGGCUCAGAUUCAGAACAAGAUGAACUCAAAGAUAGUCCAUCUGAGACAGUCAGUUCUUUGCAAGGUCCCUUUCUUGAAGAAAGCAGUGCCUUUCUUAUUGUUGAUGGUGGAGUACGCAGAAACACAGCCAUCCAGGAGUCUGAUGCCAGUCAGGGAAAGCCACUUGCCUCUUCCUGGCCUCUUGGAGUGUCUGGGCCUCUGAUAGAGGAGCUUGGGGAACAACUGAAGACUACAGUUCAGGUUUCUGAACCCAAGGGCACCACUGCUGUAAACCGCAGCAAUAUUCAGGAGAGAGACGGCUGUCAGACACCAAAUAAUUGACUCUUAGGUGGUUUUAUUCAUUGUUGAGAAAUAUGGUAGAUUGGGUUUCAUUUACCAAAUGAGAAUUCUUCAUUUUCACUUUGUAAUUUUUCUUAGUAUAUAGUCAGCCCACUGUAUUUGUGUGUUCCACAUCUGUGGAUUCAACCAACUGCAGAUCAAAAAUAUUGAAGAAAAAAUCGCAUCUGUACCAAACAUGUACAGACUUUUUUCUUGUUAUUAUUCUCUAAAUAAUACAGUAUGACAACUAUUUCCACAGCAUUUACAUUGUAUUGGGUAAUAUAAGUAAUCUAGUGAUGAUUUAAACUGUGCAGGAGGAUGUGGGUAGGUUAUAUGCAAAUACUGCACCAUUUUUUAUCAGGGGCUUGAGCAUCUGAGGAUUUUAGUAUCCUCAGGAGUCCUGGAACCAACUCCCCACAGAUACGGGGACAACUUUAUGACAUUGUUUUUCAACCAAUGAAUGUUUAUACCUUUUGUUUUCCUUGCCGCGACUGUGAAGAUAAAGUUCAAAAGUAUUUUUACCAAAGUGUAGCUAAUAUUUCAAGCUGAAAAUAAUAGUUCUACUGCCCGUGUCUCCAGAAUGUAGAGCCCAUCAAUAUUUUUAUUUUAGGAGGUGUACUUGACACCCAAUAAACUGCACGUAUCAAAAGUGUACAAUAUGUUGGCGUAUGUAUACCCUGCGUAAAACUAUCACCACAACUGAAGUGAGGAACGGACCCAUCAUUCCCAAGUGCCCUUGUGCUCUGUUAUUAGUUUGCAUGUCCUAGAAUUCUAUGUAAAUUGAAUCAUACAAUAUGUAUCCCUUUUUUGGUCAGGCAUAUUUUACUCAGUAUAGUUAUUUUGAGAUUCAUCCAUGUGGUAGCAUGUGUCACGAGUUUUUGUUUUUAUGUUUUUCAUUGCUAAGUACUGCUUCAUUGAAUAGAUUUGUUCAUUGACCUAUCGAUGGACACCUGGGUUGUUUCCAGUUUGGGGCUGUUAUAAAUAAAGCUGUUAUGAACAUUUGUGUACAA